GAAAUGCGAUAAGUAGUGUGAAUUGCAGAAUUCAGUGAAUCAUCGAAUCUUUGAACGCACAUUGCGCCCCUUGGUAUUCCAUGGGGCAUGCCUGUUGGAGCGUCAUUUGUACCCUCAAGCUCUGCUUGGUGUUGGGUGUUUGUCCCGUCUCCGCGCGUGGACUCGCCCCAAAGUGAUUGGCAGCCGGCGUACUGGUCCCGGAGCGCAGCACAUGUCGCGCAAACGAGUGCCUUGGUACGGCGGCGUCCAUAAGCCCCUCUCUCACGCUCUUGACCUCGGAUCAGGUAGGGAUACCCGCUGAACUUAAGC
rnacentral:misc_RNA from 1 species